rnacentral:rRNA from 1 species
AUUGAACGCUGGCGGCAGGCCUAACACAUGCAAGUCGAGCGGGGUUUUCGGACCUAGCGGCGGACGGGUGAGUAAUGCGUAGGAAGCUGCCCGAUAGAGGGGGAUACCAGUUGGAAACGACCGUUAAUACCGCAUAAUGUCUACGGACCAAAGUGUGGGACCUUCGGGCCACAUGCUGUCGGAUGCGCCUACGUGGGAUUAGCUAGUUGGUGAGGUAAUGGCUCACCAAGGCGACGAUCCCUAGCUGGUUUGAGAGGAUGAUCAGCCACACUGGAACUGAGACACGGUCCAGACUCCUACGGGAGGCAGCAGUGGGGAAUAUUGGACAAUGGGCGAAAGCCUGAUCCAGCCAUGCCGCGUGUGUGAAGAAGGCCUUCGGGUUGUAAAGCACUUUCAGUAGGGAGGAAGAGUUGAGUGUUAAUAGUACUCAGCUUUGACGUUACCUACAGAAGAAGCACCGGCUAACUCUGUGCCAGCAGCCGCAGUAACAC